GACGAACGCUGGCGGCGUGCUUAACACAUGCAAGUCGAACGGAAAGGCCCUGCUUGCAGGGUACUCGAGUGGCGAACGGGUGAGUAACACGUGGGUGAUCUGCCCUGCACUUCGGGAUAAGCCUGGGAAACUGGGUCUAAAACCGGAUAGGAGCCAUUUUUAGUGUGAUGGUUGGAAAGUUUUUUCGGUGUAGGAUGAGCUCGCGGCCUAUCAGCUUGUUGGUGGGGUAAUGGCCUACCAAGGCGGCGACGGGUAGCCGGCCUGAGAGGGUGGACGGCCACAUUGGGACUGAGAUACGGCCCAGACUCCUACGGGAGGCAGCAGUGGGGAAUAUUGCACAAUGGGCGCAAGCCUGAUGCAGCGACGCCGCGUGGGGGAUGACGGCCUUCGGGUUGUAAACUCCUUUCGCUAGGGACGAAGCUUUUUGUGACGGUACCUAGAUAAGAAGCACCGGCUAACUACGUG
rnacentral:rRNA from 1 species